UACUAAGCCACAAUCAAGGUCUAUUUGAUCUAAUCAAAGACAUGGACUUGAUCAUCUACAACUAUUAUAUUAGAGAAAUCCUAAUUUAAUCUAAUUCAAUAUUUAAUUAGACUUAAUCAAUUUCUCUAUAUGAUCAAUUAACUCUUUGAUUCUAACAUUAGAUCUAAUCCAAUUAAGAGGAUCUGAUUUGAGCCAACCCAUACUUCAUGUUUUAUGCAAUGUCAU
rnacentral:lncRNA from 1 species